rnacentral:rRNA from 1 species
CAGUAGCCGCGGUAAUACGAAGGUCCCGAGCGUUGUUCGGAAUCACUGGGCGUAAAGGGAGCGUAGGCGGCGUGGUAAGUCAGAUGUGAAAUCCCGGGGCUCAACCCCGGAACUGCAUCCGAUACUGCCAUGCUAGAGGAUUGGAGAGGUAGCUGGAAUUCUUGGUGUAGCAGUGAAAUGCGUGGAGAUCAAGAGGAACACUCGUGGCGAAAGCGAGCUACUGGACAAUAACUGACGCUGAGGCUCGAAGGCCAGGGUAGCGAAAGGGAUUAGAUACCCGCGUAGUCCCUGUCUCUUAUAC